rnacentral:sRNA from 1 species
AACAACAGCAAUUUUUUUUUAAGUGCAACACAGAUGCUGGGCUUAGAUGCCCGUGUCGUGGGUGGGAAUGACUGGCCCCGCUGACCCUCCAGCCAGAGGGCCUUGGAGACACUGCCCCCUGGGGUCAAGGAGCACCAGGGCUGGUUAGAGAA